ensembl:ncRNA ZK180.15 ncRNA
CAGGCUUCUUCUUCUUUUUUCUUCUCCAACACUCUACGUCUCCUCGUCCAAAAAACCAGAGCGUUCGGCUUCGGGUUCAAUGGGCCGGUAACAUCUGCGUCUCUCCAUCAGCCUGUGAUG